rnacentral:misc_RNA from 1 species
UAAAGGCUUAGUUGAGUUGAGUAACAUCUAAAUGCCAUGUGGAUAUUAUUUAACAAGUUAUUAAGCCAUGUGGCUUAGAAAAUAUGACACCUGGCAAUCUUUUAAGCUUAUUAUUAAACCAAAUGGCUUAAUUAUGUGAGCAUAUAUGGAACAAGUCAAAGAAAGUUGUCUUAAUCAUAAAGUAAAACAUAUAGAUUCCACAUGUAACAUAAACAUAAACUUUUGGCAUGUUCACCAUGUUACCAAGAAACGAUAGAUAAUUGCAAGAAUCAACUCAAUUUCCUAAACAUCACGUGCAACUAUCUCACAUCCUAUAAAAUCCAAGAGUCAGGUACAAAAUAGUCUAAAAUUAGGUCAUUUCAAGCAGUAAUAAAUUAUUCACUAGAACUAAAACAUCCAUAAAGAUUAUCUAAAAAGGGGUGAAAUGAAAUUGUGCCAAGUGUAACAUGCACGGUAAAUACAAAUAAUUAAUCCGCACAAAAGUACAUAACUGGUCUAAAAUUAAUUAAUCCUCACAAAGUAUGCAUGCACAUACACAUGCAUGCACACACCUUUCAUUGCAGCUAUUAUCCAAGUUUUAAAUGAUGUGAAGUGUCAAGUUAUCCCCCAUAUAAGAAGGGGAACCAGUUUUAAAGAAUAAAUUAACCAAUACUUUAUUUCUAAAAGAACUGUGUAAAAAAGAGCAUCCAAUACACAAUGAAACUUAAAAAAGAUAGUUAUGAGUUUCCCAGACACCAAAAGUUCAGAAUUCAAUUCAUUAAGAGGCACAAAAUUUCAAAUAUCCAACUUCUAAAUUGGUCAGUUCUAAUUUAGAAACUAUAUAAUUUAAUCCAUGAAGAUAGAAUGGCAUCAACAAAAUAUGAAAGGAGGAAAGAGAAGUUUA